CUCUGGGUCUUGCGUCCUGCCUCUUCGGCCUCCACUCUGAGUCUCUUCCCCAGUUCCUCCUCUUGGGUGAUGGAGGUGGCCAUGACUAACCCCACUGUGCACAGCUAAAGCGAGAAUAAUGCCAGCAGUAGGUCAUCUGCUGUCACUGGGAACAAAGAAGAAAAAGAAGAUGAAAAGCAGCCUCUUGGUGCCCCAGGGCCCCGAACCACAGCGACACACCUGGCGGUUUUGGGGGAAGGCGGCUGGUGUCAGCCCACACGCUGGCCUGCGGAUGUCGCAUGAGUCAGUGAGACGAGGAAAUCAAGGCCCGGGGCUCAACAACUUGCCAGCCACAGUUCUCUCCAUCUGUAAGGGGCAGAACCGGGACCCUAACUCCCCUCCAGCCACUCCAGGAGGCCGCGGUUCCUCCUGUCCCCAGCGUGCCCUCC